ensembl:lncRNA
CAGAGGGAUCACAGUAAAAUUCAUUUGUUUGAUAAGGAGUACAAAAAUAAGAAUACUCACUGGGAGUUUCUAAAUUCUGGAAGAACCAGGUAGGAAGAGAAAAUAAGUGCUAAACUUCUUUUCACAAAGGUAUACCUUAUCAAAUUAUUGAUAGCUUAAGUGAAAAGAUUUCUUUAAAUCUGGAAAAGAAUUAAGGACCUGAAAUAUUUUAGAAACAAAGUCAUAAAAGUUAUAAUAAUUCUCAUCUGUUCAUUUCAUCCCAUGUUAUUAAUUCUUGCUCUACUUCAAUCAAGUUUUUCCAUAUGUUCUUUUGGCCUCGCCUGCUGACUGAGAGUGACAGGGACAGUGAUAAUUCAAGGGAGUUUGCAACGUUUUCAUUAAAGCUCAUCUGAGUUGCCCAGCGAAGAGGGUGUCUUGAUGACUGGAUAAUGUGGAAGAUAUACCCCAAGUGAGAAAAACAUUUUCUAAUAGUUUCUUUGCCAUUGUGAGAGCACUGGCCCUGUAGCAGGGGGGAGGAUUCAACCCACCUGGAAAACUUACACAACAAUAACAACAACCUAUGGAUAACCCAUACUAAACGGGAGUUGAAUGAAGUCCAGCUGCAGGUGUUCAAAGGGGCCAGAAAGAGGAGGUCUAAAGCCUCUAGGGACAAAAACAGGUUUAUUUUUUUCAGUGAACUAUGGUGGGUAAAGGAAUACAAACCAGAAAGUGGGGUUUGUCUGAGAGCCAGAAAGAAUCAAGCAGGCAUCCUGGGGUUCCCAUAGCCCUGACCAUUAAUUUACAGCUAUGUUUACCCAUCUUAAUUUCUCUGAUUCAGGAGCAGAGUGUUGCCAUGUUACAAGGACAUCGGGAUGGCAAAAACUUGGCAAUGAGUGGUUAUUUUUGCAGAAGAACAGAUUUCACCUAAAUUUGCCACAAACCUAGUAGAAUCUAUUGCUGCUGCCUGCAUGAAUGUCAGUUAGUGUAUUUCCUUGAUAUGCAUGUUCCGUACAUUUAGUGUGGGCCUCAAUUUUGCCACCAAAUUACUUUUUGGAAAGUUAAGAGAAUAGUGGUGAGGAGGUAAUUUAUUUAUUUCCCAUUUUUUCCCAUUUGAUUUAAUUUUAAUUUUAUAUUGAAGUAGAGUUGAUUUACAAUAUUGCAUUAGUGUCAGGUGUAGAGCAAAGUGAUAUAUAUGUCUCCAUUCUUUUCAGAUUCUUUUCCCAUAUAGGUUAUAACAGAAUAUUGAGUAGAGUUUCCUGUGCUAUAUAGUAGGUCCUUGUUGCUUCUCUGUUUUAUAUACAGUGGUGUGUAUAUGUUAAUCCCAAAUUCUUGGUUGCUCAGCUUUUACUGUAGUCCUAGAGAACAUCGUACAUUUUAAGGCAGUGGAUAAAACUACAAAUGAUAGCAUUUUACCAGGAUAUAUCUCAUUUCUAGGAAAUGUAUCCCAAUACAACAUAAAAAAGGAUAAGUAUUAGUUCUACUUUGGCAAUGUUUCCCAUGUAAUUUAACAUAUAAAGUAAGCCUAAUUAGUUGAACAAAUCUUUUGAAAUGUUCUAGACACCCCCUGAAAAAUUUCGUAGUUAGUUUGUGGUCAAAAGACUUCAUUUAGCAUUUGAUUUGGGGAAGUUUGUCAGAAACAUCAAAAGGUUCUAAAACACUUGACUAAUUAGGAUCACAGAUUAUGAUGAAACUUAAUAGUUAAUUAUCUAUUAGCAAAACUUAGCUCUUUUAAUAUUAAGAAGACUCGGUGUUCCUAAGUAAGCAAAGAUCUGAUAAAGACAGUAAACACAGAAAAUUAUUUAGAUAAAACAAAUUAUUUUGGUAAAACAGAACCUCUGUUUUCUAGGCUGAUCACUUAAAAGAUAAAGAAAAGCUUUGUUUACAAUUUCUUAUUAAAAGCUGAUCAAUACUCCCAGAAACCUUGUCCUUUCAGGAGAUUAAAAAAAAAUAUAUAUAUAUAUAUAGGAGUUCCCAUUGUGGCUCAGAGGGUUAAGGACCUGACUUUGUCUCUGUUAGCAUUCAGGUUCUAUCCCUAGCCUUGCUCGGUGGAUUAGGGAUCCAGCAUUGCCACGAGCUGCAGCAUGGGUCGCAUAUGGGACUCAGAUCCAGUAUUGCUGUGGCUGUGGCUCUGGCUCCCAUUUGACCUCUAGCCCAGGAAUUUCCAUAUGCCUCAAGGGAAGCCAUUAAAAAAAUUAAAAAUUUAGUUUUAUAUAAUAUAAAAACCUAUUCCAAAAACCCAUAUGAUAAUCCUUUUUUAUUUUUUUGCUAACUUGACAAUGCAAGGCAAGAUACCCUCUCUCAUUCUCACUUUCUGAAAUGACCAAAAGUUUUAGUUUCGAUGAAAGUACUCUCACUUCCCUUAAUAAACAUGUAUCUCUAUACCUCACACUUUUCUUAAGCAAAAACACCCUGCUUCCCUUACAUAGAGUUGUUUCCUUUAUUAUUUCUAGUAGUGUCAAUACAUAUACAGGUAGUUGUAGAAGUCCCAGUAAGGGACCAUAGAUAGAGAGGGAAACCUGGGGAAAUUUGGGAGACCACUAUUAAAUUAAUAAUUGCUCAAGAGGGCCAGCAAAAUAAGGCAGGCUUCUUGACUACUGGAGGUAUGAGAUAUGCCUCAGGUCAUUGGGUGGGAUAGGAGGUGAAGCCUGCAUUCAGGUUCAGACCAAGGGCAGGAGUUUAAGGACCACCCUUCUGCUGCUUUGAAUAAGCACCAGGCCAGUCCUAGUUUGACCUUACAGGGUUGAAUACUCUUUUAGGGAUACCAAGAAGGAGCUAAUGAUGUAAGGCUGACAUCUUCUUCAAGAAAGGGGAAGAGGUGGUCUUUUCCCACUCCUUACUUCUCUUGGAUUAUAAAAAUGUAGCCCACCUAAUCUUCGGGCAGCCUCUUUGCCUGCCUGCUUGCAUCUCUCACAAGCAAUUAAUCUUAAGAAAUCUAUUUCUUGCCUAUAACUUUGUCUCUAGCUGAACUCCUUCUGUGCUGAGGUACAAAGAAACAAACCUCUGGAAGUCCAGAUACUGGGUGAGUGAAAAACCGUGGGUUCAAGUUUUGGCUGGGUUCAGAUUAUAAGUGCUAUCAGUUUCAAAUUGGCAGACUUAUACUUUUUAUAAUUUAUGGGAAAAUGUGCUUUUUCAUAGAAAAAUUUCGGUGUGACAUAAAACACGUUUACUAAUAGAUCCAAUUUUAUUUUUAUUUUUUAGCUUUUUUUUUUAGGACCACACCCAUGGCAUAUGGAAGUUCCCAGGCUAAAGGUUAAGUCAGAGGUGCAGCUGAGGGCCUAUGCCACAAUCACAGCAAUGUGGGAUUUCGGCAACCUACACCUCAGUUCAGGGCAACACCGGAUCCAUAAUCCACUGAGCAAGGCUAGGAAUCAAACCUGCAUCCUCAUAAAUACUCGUCGGAUUCAUUUCCACUGAGCCAGGAUGGGAACUCCCUCUAAUAGAUCUAAUUUUAUCCUUAGAUUCUCUGUAAUAUAAGGCUAAAAGUAGGUAAACCUAGUUCAGUAAUGUUUCGCUAUUUUAUCUUGCAAUACCAUUCAGAGGUAGAAAAACCUGACACAUCUACAACACACACACAUAUAUAAAGAUAGACACAUGAAAUUUUAACCUUCAGAUGGAUAUGGUAUGAAAAACAGUUGGAUCCAAACUGUUUUUCUGACGCAUAGAAUAAAUUAAGGUUAUCUGCUCAGAUGGCUAAAGCAUUUUUUUAAGAAAUAUUUUUGUAGAAGACAUGUUUUUUUCUUAAGUUUCAAAUGACCUAAGUUUCAAAGGGCCUUUUUCACUUCCCCGUAAUAAUUACUCUCCUAAAGUUUGCAUUUUAAAGAAUAGCGAAUAGCUCUUAAGUCCUGGAGAAGAUGGGUGCAGGAAAUCUUCAUCACAAAGGCACAGAUUAAGUGCAGAGCAAUUCUGUUUCUAAUGCCCUGAUCUUUUCAAGUUUUUUGAGAAGAAUAAAUGCAGCAUGGUAAACUGGCAAAGAAAAACAGCAAAUAAGCUUUGAACUGAGAGAGCUAUGUACAUUUUUGGCCCUGCAAAUAUUUGAUUUUUGAAAUAAAGACAGGUUUUUUAAAAAAAUGUUUGCUUUCUUUCUGAGCAUAUAUGGAAGAAGGCCUAAAAAAAAUCCCUAUCAGGUUCUGAAUAUCAGCAUCCAAUUUGGCCAAAUUUUUGAUCACAAAGUUAUUAAAUUCUUUGAAAUAUCUUGUCAGGUUUCAGAGGGGACAGAGUUAAUAUUUAUGUCAGUACUGAACAACCCCAUUAAUGUUUCAUUCUUUUGUUUUUUUGGAGCUCCUAAGCCAGGGAUCAGAUCCAUGACACAGCUGGGAAUGAAGCAGCAGGUACGGCAAUUCUGGAUCCUUAGCCCACUGUGCUGGGCAGGGGAUCCAACAAGACUCCCAAUGCUCCCAAGACACUGCUUAUCUUGUUGCGCCACAGCAAGAGCUCCACAACCCCAUUAAUGUUAACUUUUAGUUUCCUCCUGGCUGUUUAAGGGGAUAAACAUAAUUUACUAGAAAAUCACUGAGUCCAGUCAACUUUGGGAAGAGCCCAUACGGGAGCACAGGAGUCAGUGUUGAAGAAUUUGCAUAGAGCCUCUAAGGAUAAUCUCUUUUCCAGUCUCUUAGUUGAUUAUAAUUGAUACAUCAAUUUCUGAGCCAGUGUUUUGAUAAUGAAUCUCUAGGAAGGUGUAAUGGGGGGCAGGGGAAGGCUUAUUUUGGGUCCCUGGCCUUGGAGCUGCUGUAACUGCAAAGCUAUUAGCUUGGCAGAUUCUGUUUGAAAUCUUGUUCUAGAGUACUUUUAAUAUUCUCAUCUAUAGUCACAAGUUCAGUCAGUUGGUGGCCUU